CACUCUUUUCUCUUUCUUGUUUUCAAUCUCUUUUCCCUCGUCUCUCUCUUUCUCUCCUUCCCUCUUCUCUCUUCUCAAACCCUAAAAAUGUCUGAACAAAAAAGUCACAGUUUCUCAUCCCCGCCGUCGCACACCCAAAUCACGUCGGGACUUCCAUCCCCAUCGUCGCCUCUUUCUCAUGCCACCACUGAUUUUGGUUCAUCAACAAACCCUAACACUACCCAUUAUUUUCAUUCCUGAACAUUAGAGAUCUACAAAUCUCAAAGAAUAAUAAACGAAAGUUGUGAGAUGGUGAAGUUGCAACAAUGACAAAUCUGUUUAGUUGAUUCUCGCAGUAGUGGAAAACGACAAGGUUUAUGGAUUUACAUUAGAGAGGAGAAAAAAUGGAACAGACAGAGUGAAUCUUUCAUCAUCAUUGUAAGAAAAGUACCUAUGUUGGUUUCUUCUUUUGUUUGUGUGUUUUUUUUUAAUUUAUUCAUCUCUAUUAUCAAAGUACCUAUCAUCUCUAGCAUGGAUCUGUGUAAGAAAAGUAUCAUUGAUCGGUGUUGUUGAUUGUCUCUCACCUCUAGCAUGGAUUGCAUUUACCAGGAACGAUUGUUGUAAGUGAAGGGUGCAGGGUGAUUAUUAUUUAGGAUUUUAUCUUUUGGUGUCUUAUAACUCUCAUGUUUUUUAUGUCUUGCUUGAAUACUUAUCACUAGAUAUUUUCCUUUAGUAUGAUAUUAUGUCUCUAUGUUACAUUAGAUAUUUUUUAGUGACCUGUUUUUAUGUUCAUUGAUAAAUCAUGAAGAUUUGACUUCUAGAAAAGAUGAUGUAAAAAUGGUUUCAAGAGUGUAAGUCUAAAUCUUACUUUCCAAAAGAUAAGGUUAUCCAUCACUAGAUAUUUUCAUUGAUCUCUUUUUAUUUUUUAUUGCUUCCUAUUUUUCAGUUCAUGGAGCUUGAGAGAAAACUGAAAGAAUGGGAAUAAAGCUCAUGAUCCACGCUUAAACAACAGGUUCUAAUUUAUUUAUGUUAAACUAAAAGUGUAAGGUUGAUCAAACCAAGAGCAAGAAAGUGAUGACAUUGACAUCUUUUUAUUAUAUUACUAUGCAGCUAAUAAGAAUAAAAUAAUUUUGUUAAGGAAGCUGCUGAGUUUGCAGAAUUUGCUGCUUGGCAUGUUCAUUUGUUUUCUAUUAUGCAGAAAAUAUUCCAAUUUAGAAGCAAACAGAAUAAGAGGUAUGAAAAAGAAGGGACGUAGUUGGCAUUUUGGAAGCCUAUGAUACAUCUCAUCAGAGCUCGAAAUUGUCGUGAAUUUGAAAUUUUAUGGUGGUCUUGUCUUUGGUUUGUUCUACGGAGAAAGUUUGGUGUCUUUAGUUGUUUAAGACAAUUUUAUAUUUCAAGUUGAGUUAGCUUUUGAUAUAAUAUUUAUGCUAAAUUGUUUGUGAGAAGAUGUUUUUUCCAACACAAAUCAGUUCAAGUAUAUGGAUUUCCUUUACACUGUAAGAAGCUAAUACAUUGUCCUAAAUUCAUUGUGACAUUAUUUAUGGUUACUGACUUUUUGCGAACCAGAAUUUCUUGUGCCAAAGAAUAAUAUUGCAGCUUACCAAAGAAUUUCUCUCUCUUUAUAAAGUACAAUUUCAAUUGAAAAUAUAAUAUAGUUGCAUAUUUAUGAUUAUUAUUCAUUUAUAAUUGAAUCAUUCAUUUUAAAUUUACAUGUUUUAAAUAUAUUUUAUACAAUAUUAAAUAAAUUUACAUGAUAUUAGGCUGUAGUUUACGGGUCACUAUCAACAUAAUACAUAUUUUAUUUAUUUUUUCAAAUAUUAAAAAUUUUUU